GAUGAACGCUGGCGGCGUGCCUAAUACAUGCAAGUCGAGCGAACAGAUAAGGAGCUUGCUCCUUUGACGUUAGCGGCGGACAGGUGAGUAACACGUGGGUAACCUAUCUAUAAGACUGGAAUAACUCCGGGAAACCGGAGCUAAUACCGGAUAACAUGUUGAACCGCAUGGUUCUACAGUGAAAGGCGGCUUUGCUGUCACUUAUAGAUGGAUCCGCGCCGCAUUAGCUAGUUGGUGAGGUAACGGCUCACCAAGGCAACGAUGCGUAGCCGACCUGAGAGGGUGAUCGGCCACACUGGAACUGAGACACGGUCCAGACUCCUACGGGAGGCAGCAGUAGGGAAUCUUCCGCAAUGGGCGAAAGCCUGACGGAGCAACGCCGCGUGAGUGAUGAAGGUCUUCGGAUCGUAAAACUCUGUUAUUAGGGAAGAACAAAUGCGUAAGUAACUAUGCACGUCUUGACGGUACCUAAUCAGAAAGCCACGGCUAACUACGUG
rnacentral:rRNA from 1 species